UACGAAGGGUGCAAGCGUUACUCGGAAUACUGGGCGUAAGGCGUGCGCAGGCGGUUUUGUAAGUCUGUCGUGAAAUCCCCGGGCUCAACCUGGGAAUUGCGAUGAAGACUGCAAGGCUUGAAUCUGGCAGAGGGGGUAGAAUUCCACGUGUAGCAGGUGAAAUGCGUAGAGAUGAUGGAGGAACACCGAUGGCGGAAGGCAGCCCCCUGGGUCAAGAUUGACGCUCGAUGACACGAAA
rnacentral:rRNA from 1 species